AUGGCGUUGCAGGUGUCCACUAAGUUUGAAAAUCUUUUAUCUCCUGAAACAAAUGCCCAGGGAAGAUCUAAGCAAGAGGAGAGGUCUUCUGGAGAGAGCAAUAGAGUGAAAGGCAGAAGAUGUUGCUUCCAGAGCCUGACAAACUGCUAUCUGUGUGAUGUGGAGAGAGACACAGCAAGCAGGACUGAAAACGGUUUCAUUCUGUCAUCCAAGCAUGAGUGUGGGGGCGCAGUCUCGGCUCACUGCAGCCUCAACCUCCCAGGCUCAAGUGAUCCUCCCACCUCAGCCUCCCAAGCAACUGGGACUACAGCAACAUGGAGAAGGCAUCAAGAACGUACUUCAUUCACCCGCGAACAGUAUGAAGAGCUAGAAGCUCUGUUUAGCGAGACCAGGUUCCCAGAUAGAAAUCGUCAGGAGAAACUAGCUUUGCAACUCGACCUACCGGAGUCAACAGUAAAGGUUUGGUUCAGGAACCGGCGAUUCGAACAGAAAAAGCAGCAGCAGCAGCAAUCAACAAUGCUACCAACCAGAUCCUUCUAUCCAAGAAGGAUGUGCCCACCUUCCUAAGAACAGCUAUCAUUCUUAUGCUUUUUCUUCUGUGGUUUCGGAUUUCUGCAGCUCCCUUCCACCUCAGCCCUUAGGCCCUUCCAAUUGGGCAUGGAACUCUACCUUCACUGAGAGUCCCACAAGUGAUUUCCAAAUGCAAGAUACUCAGUGGAAGAAGCUGGUAGCCUCAGUUCCUGCUUUGCACUCUGAUGCCUAUGACAUAUCCCAAGUCAUAGAACUGUAUGAUCUUCCUGAUGAGAAUGAGAUAUCCAGCUCUUCUUUCUACUGUCUGUAUCAGUAUCUCUUACCCACAAAGCACCAGGUAGGAGGACAGGGUUCCUCUCUCAGUAUCUUUGCUGGUCCAGCUGUAGGUCUAUCUCCCAUACAAACCUGGCCCAGUAUGACAAGCCAAGGCUUUGAAGCCUACAGUCUAACAGACAGCCUAGAAUUCUAGAAAACCUCCAAUAUGGUAGCCUUUGGAUUUCUCUGA